rnacentral:pre_miRNA from 1 species
AUAGUACUACCUCUGUCCGAAAAUACUUGUCAUCAAAAUGAUAUCUAGAUGUAUUUUAGUUCUAGAUACAUCUUUUUUUUUCCAUUUUGAUGUUAAGUAUUUUCGGCCGGAGGGAAUAGUAA